AUAGAUGGUGUUUCACCAUGUUGCCCAGGCUGAUCUCUAACUCCUGGGCUCACGCACUCUGCCCGCUUUGGCCUCCAAAAUGCUAGGAGGACACGCCUGAGCCACCACGCCUAGCCUCGUCCAGUUUUUAAGAACCGGUGAUUCAGUAUAAAAUGUCACAGGAAGGCCAGAAUCCAUUCCCAGUAUAGGAAACUGGACUCCGCUGACCACGGCACAGUAUUUAGCAUUUACUAGUUGCUUUAAAAACAGUUGUUCAUUUAUGUGACUUUACCCUUGUGACGGGAAAAUAACAUUUGCAUGUCUAAGCUCCGUUACGUUUGACCUUCACAAGUCUGUGAGGCUAAUAGGAUGCUGUGCAAUUUUACACCACUUAUACAGAUCAGAAAACUGAGGAUCAAAGAGAGUUGUUUGUCUAGGUGCUGAGAUGAUUCAUAGGUAAGGUGCUUUGUAGAAAGUACUACACAAAUGAAAGUAAUACUGUGCUUUGGGCACAUAUCUAUAAAUUAAGGCAAAAAUUACGACUUCACAUAUAAUGGUAUCUCAGUCUUUUCUGAAUACAACGUAUCAACUAAACUUGUGCUGUUUUUCACCAUCUAACUCUCUCUUCCCUUAGCCAUAACUGAGGGGUUACUCCCACUUGACACCAGAAUGGCAGGCUUCUCAGCAUUGUGAAAUGCACUGUUCUACAACCUGAGUCAGUCCAGACAGGCUGUCACCAGGCAUUCAAUAGAGAGCAGAAACACACACAAUUACCCUCCUGACUAGGGUCCCUUGAGACAUAGGUCUGGAGAAUUCUGGCAUGAAGAAACAGUGUUUGCGACAAUCAAUAGUCUUUCGGGGCGACUUAAUGUGGAAAGAAAACAGCAUUAAACAAUUAUGCUGCACAUGAACAUUCUAUAUAAGAGUAUACAGUUGAUCAUUUUUAUGGUUUCAUAAAAAUUCAUUUGCUUUCGGGUAUUACAAAUACACCAGGAAACGGAAACAUCUAACACAGGCAAGGCACCACCUAAAAAAUAAAAGCCUGACAAAUUAAAAAAAAUAAAAUCCAGUUUUCAACCUAAACCACAUCAAGUCAAUUUUGUUUAAAAACAAAAACUAAGCUUUCGUUUCAGGCUGCUAGUCACCCUCAUUUUUCUUCAACAGAAAAAUUAACAAAGCAACUUUUGUGAUGAAAUGCUAAUAUUAAAGGUUUAUAGGGUCCUACCUUGCACCCCUGAGACAUAUUUAUCAUUACAGAGACACUUGCUUUCAUGACACAACACUUAAAUGGAAAAGAAAAAAAGGCCUACAGACUAGAGAAAUGCUGGGAGCAAAAAAAAAAAACUUUCCGAAAUUUAUUACUGUGUGUGUUUUUAACUUUCCUAAUUUAGGUAUACUGACUUAUGCUAUUGGCUGCUUUUAUUUUUGAUCUUCUGGCAAAAUUGUGUUUUUAGCUUCUAAGAGGUGAAAUAUGACUAAAUGAAGUACAAAUGUAGAGAUUUUUGUUUCACCAUCUGAAAAAAAGGAUUAGGGCAAAGCAGCAAAUUAACUAUGUUCCCUACAUUUGGAGCCUGAUAGGAUGAUUAUUUGGUUACAUGCUGCAUAGAUCAUGCAUUCUUCUCUGUAACAAGGCAAAUUAGAUAUUUAUGCUUCUAUUCCAAACAAAGCAGACACGAUGUCUGGCAGGAUUUUUUUCUACGUUAGUUAGAACUCUUGUAAGUAAAGCUUAUGAGUUUUAUCACGUGGCACUUCAACCCUGCUACAUAUAAACAAUCUUUAUGAGGGUCAUACUGCUUCUUACUUAACAGUCAAUAAAUGUACCACUACCAUUACCGUCUUCAACUUCUUCCAAUAAGUUUGUAAAAGUAACGUGCCUUGCUUGAAUCUGCACGCAAACUGGUUCGUAUUUACUCUUUAAGGUUGCUGUAUCACAUUCUGAACUUCUCUUUUUCUCCUAGAGCAUUCUAUUUGUACUUUUGUCCAUGCUUUGGGAUCAAACUGUCAACAACACUGUUCACGUCUGAAUCUUCACACUACCUGGCACUAUGCUCCUCUUACCCUAGGCACAUUGGCCACUGCCUCCCAUAACCUGCUGAGUUGCUGCCAGUGAGGCUCCUUAGCCUAUGAAUCCAGCCAGUCUCAUACAUUUCUUGAGCUCAUCGUCGUCAGAAUGAAGGGUAUACUGGUGGCCUCUAGUCCACCAGGGGGCAGGUGCUAGACUUAGUUAUGCUACCAUAAACUCUGCUGUUUGGGGGAAAACAGGGCACCCCAGAUGCUAUGGUGUCCCAGUGUUCUGUCAGACCGGCUUGAUCCAGAUGAGCAGAAUUUUUUUUCUUCUUAUGGCAGCUCUGGCUAAGUACUAUUGGCUUACGUAGAAAUCUAGGUACUCAGAGAGGACCCUGUCCUACCUGCUUGCCUGUAUCUCAAGUAAGCCAACCUCUUGCCAGGAAGGGAGAAAAGGAAGCAAAGAACUGGCAGAAAGUUCCUGAUUCUUUGGCAUCUAACUUGGAAUCCGGUACAAACCAAGAGUCAUUGCUGGGAAUACCUAGAUCAGUCUGGUGCCCACGACUGAGGACCAGCUAUUGAAAUCUUUUUCCUUCCUUCUUUCUUUGGAAAAAAAAAAAAUUCAGAUCCACCAGGAACCAAUUUAUUUAUAAGAUAUGAUGAAGAUUAAAGACUAGAAAAAAUGGCAUUAAAGACAAGCACCAAUGUUUUCAGUAUAAGAUUUAAGACACACAAAAUUAUUCUGUCAAAUUCCUAAAUGCUUACUCCUACUUCUGUAGGUACCUGAUUUUGGGUCAAUAUGUUUGUGGACAGCCUGCGUCCAAGUUCCAAACUUUUUGAGCAGUGUCGGCUGGGCCCCUUCUACCACCGCAUCCCACUCACGGUCUUAAGGGCUGCUGAGCGAAUAAAGCCUGAGCUGACCCUCUUAUGUGGAUCAUUUCUCUGCCGCUUCUUCCUAACCUCAUUCCUAAGGUUUCUUCCCCAUCCAUAAUGGCAGUGUUGCUUCAUGCCAAGACUCUUCCUUGGCAUGAAGUUAUGAGGAAUACACAGUGAAUAUAUGCCAGAUGAACUAACUCCUGUCUGACAGUGUCACUGAUUUAAAGGCAUUCAUUAAAAAAUUAUUUAGUACCCACUAUAUGUCAGGCACUGAGUGAACUGCUGGGACAUACAACUUAUUCUUAAGUAGCUUUUGCUCUAGUAGGAGGAUAUGAAAGUAAACAACCACAAUUCAUUGGGACAAAUGUCAUGGCAGAGGGAAGCACAAAAAGAUGCCACUUAUUCCAGGCUGGGUUUGUAGGAAGCAAAGGCUUUGUGGAGGUGCCUGGGCUGAGUGCUGAAGGAUUAAAAAACAUUCACUAGCAGAGAAAGUAGGUCAGGAGCCUAAGAAAUAAAAUCUGCAAAGAUGCAGAAGUAGACAGAGCUUGGCAUGAUCCAGAACGAAGUAGCUCAGUAAGGAUUAAAUAUAGCGUGCAAGCGGGGAGUGGUGAAAUAUAAGGCUUGCUUAGUGACAUGGUUUGGCUGUGUCCCCAUUCAAAUCUCAACUUGAACUGUAACUCCCAGAAUCCCCCGUGCUGUGGGAGGGACCCAGGGGGAGGUAGCUGGAUCCUGGGGGCCGGUCCUUCCCAUGCUAUUCUCGUGAUAGUGAGUUAAGUCUCACGAGAUCUGACGGGUUUACCAGGGUUUCCGCUUUUGCCUCUCCCGUCAUUUUCUCUUGCUGCCGCCAAGUAAGAAGUGCAUUUCACCUCCCGCCAUGAUUCUGAGCCCUCCCAGCCAUGUGGAACUAGUGGCACCAACCCCGACCAAGAACCCCGGGUGGAAGAUGGAGAAUUUGGUCAGAAAGUGAACAAGCCUCUUAGAAACAUGCAGUGAUACCAGUUUGACCGAAUUAAAGUUUUAUUAUAAAGGCUUGACUGUGGAUGAUUGCAGACAGCGCGAGGUCACUGAGUCCAUAAGCAGCGAGAAGGGCACACAGAGCGGAAAAGGAGAAGCUCGCUGCUGGAGGAGGCAAACUUGACUUCACCAUGUUUUCUAGGGUGGGACCUGACUUUGACCUCAUGUAUACAGAUGGGCUUGACUGAGCUAAUCGAUGCUUAUGUCCAGGUGCUUAUGUCUUAUGGUAAUAUAUUUUUUUCAACUGCCAUUGAAAGACAUGAGAAAUGAAACAUGAAAAUAUUUAAUAAUUCAGUAUUUCCAAGUGUCUAGACUACUGAACAUAUUAUCCAAGAAAUUAUUUAGAAGAAAGGGAAAGGAAAUAGGCAAGAGAUUUUAUGACUACUGACUAUGAAUCAAUUGUUUUGAGUUUUAUUUGUCAUAGAGUAGAUACUAUUUUCCCUGUUUCACAGAUGACAAAUAUGAGGGUCAGAUAGAUUAGGAAACGUGCCCAAAGUUUCACAGCUAGUCAAUGAGAGAAAGCAUUUUCCAAGCCAGGUUCACUUGGCUGCAAAGCACUUACUCUUUCUGAUGCCUAGAUGUUUUAGCACAUUUGGAUUACAAAAAUGUUAGAAAUAAAAUUAUGUUUGUUAAAAGAUAGGCAUUUAAAAAGCUCUGGGUUGUGGUUGUCUGUGGAUGAAAUUAUAAAAUGAUAGCUCCCCCCAAAACACACAUACAUGCACGCAUGCACACACGCAACCAUGCAAUGUUGGUUGUGAUGGCUGAGUCACUGAAUUUAUUUGAAAGAACCAUCUUCUUUUGCAUGACAGAAUACAGAUGGCCAUAAACUAUUUACCCAGACAUUUUGGGGUUGAGGGAUGCAGUCACCAUUUGAAACAAAAAUACAACUCUAGCAAUACAUAUGAAAGUGAAUUACUUUGUUAAUGUGAAAGGGAAAAGGGGGAAAAUGAAUAAAACAGCAAGAAUACAACUGAAAGGACA